rnacentral:rRNA from 1 species
GACGAACGCUGGCGGCGUGCUUAACACAUGCAAGUCGAACGGUAAGGCCCUUCGGGGUACACGAGUGGCGAACGGGUGAGUAACACGUGGGUGAUCUGCCCUGCACUUCGGGAUAAGCCUGGGAAACUGGGUCUAAUACCGGAUAGGACCUUGCGCUUCACGGUGUGUGGUGGAAAGCUUUUGCGGUGUGGGAUGGGCCCGCGGCCUAUCAGCUUGUUGGUGGGGUAAUGGCCUACCAAGGCGACGACGGGUAGCCGGCCUGAGAGGGUGACCGGCCACACUGGGACUGAGAUACGGCCCAGACUCCUACAGGAGGCAGCAGUGGGGAAUAUUGCACAAUGGGCGCAAGCCUGAUGCAGCGACGCCGCGUGAGGGAUGACGGCCUUCGGGUUGUAAACCUCUUUCAGCACCGACGAAGCGCAAGUGACGGUAGGUGCAGAAGAAGGACCGGCCAACUACGUGCCAGCAGCCGCGGUAA